rnacentral:rRNA from 1 species
ACCCGCUGAAUUUAAGCAUAUAAUUAAGGGGAGGAAAAGAAACCAACUCGGAUUCCCCUAGUAACGGCGAGUGAAGCGGGAAGAGCUCAUGUUGUAAAUCUCCAGCUUGCUGGCGAAUUGUAGUCUAAAGGUGCGUGCUCAGUCGUGGUCCCGGGCUAAGUCUGUUGGAAAACAGCAUCAUGGACGGUGACAAUCCGGUUCUUGCCUGGGGUCCCGCGGCGUACGAGCCGUUUCCGACGAGUCGUGUUGCUUGGGAUUGCAGCACUAAGUGGGUGGUAAAUUCCAUCUAAAGCUAAAUAUUGGUGGGAGACCGAUAGCGAACAAGUACCGUGAGGAAAGAUGAAAAGGACUUUGAAAAGAGAGUAAAUAGUACCUGAAACUGCUGAAGGAAGCGAUUGAAGUCAGUGUUGCUCCUGGUCUUUUUGCCGUCGCCCCCGUGGGGGUUGCGGCGUGGGGCCUGGAGCGUUUCAACAUGCGUUCUGUUCCGCGGGAAAUGUUCAGUGUGCUGGAACCUUCGGGGAAACGCACUGUUCUUGUCGUGGUUAGGACGGAGGACCUUUGCUCCUUUGACUGCGCGUUCCUCUCUCGGGUAUGCUGGUGUCUACUGCUUGCAGUUUUCAUUUUCAUGCUUGCGACUGUGCGUGUUAUUCAUGAGCGAACAUGAUGUUGAAGAAAUGGCUUUAAUUACCCCGUCUUGAAACACGGACCAAGG